UACGGAGGGGGCUAGCGUUGUUCGGAAUUACUGGACGUAAAGCGUACGUAGGCGGCUUUGUAAGUUAGAGGUGAAAGCCCGGGGCUCAACUCCGGAAUUGCCUUUAAGACUGCAUCGCUUGAAUCAUGGAGAGGUGAGUGGAAUUCCGAGUGUAGAGGUGAAAUUCGUAGAUAUUCGGAAGAACACCAGUGGCGAAGGCGACUCACUGGACAUGUAUUGACGCUGAGGUACGAAAGCGUGGGGAGCAAACAGG
rnacentral:rRNA from 1 species